AUUGAACGCUGGCGGAAUGCUUUACACAUGCAAGUCGAACGGCAGCACGGACUUCGGUCUGGUGGCGAGUGGCGAACGGGUGAGUAAUACAUCGGAACGUGCCCAGUCGUGGGGGAUAACGUAGCGAAAGCUACGCUAAUACCGCAUACGAUCUACGGAUGAAAGCGGGGGAUCGCAAGACCUCGCGCGAUUGGAGCGGCCGAUGGCAGAUUAGGUAGUUGGUGGGGUAAAGGCUCACCAAGCCGACGAUCUGUAGCUGGUCUGAGAGGACGACCAGCCACACUGGGACUGAGACACGGCCCAGACUCCUACGGGAGGCAGCAGUGGGGAAUUUUGGACAAUGGGCGCAAGCCUGAUCCAGCCAUUCCGCGUGCAGGAUGAAGGCCCUCGGGUUGUAAACUGCUUUUGUACGGAACGAAAAGGCUCUGGUUAAUACCUGGGGCUCAUGACGGUACCGUAAGAAUAAGCACCGGCUAACUACGUGCCAGCAGCCGCGGUAA
rnacentral:rRNA from 1 species